UACGGGGGGGGCAAGCGUUGUUCGGAAUUACUGGGCGUAAAGGGCUCGUAGGCGGCCAACUAAGUCAGACGUGAAAUCCCUCGGCUUAACCGGGGAACUGCGUCUGAUACUGGAUGGCUUGAGUCCGGGAGAGGGAUGCGGAAUUCCAGGUGUAGCGGUGAAAUGCAUAGAUAUGACCCGGAACACCGAUUGCGUAGGCAGCCCACUAAGCAACGAUUGACGCUGAGGCACGAAAGCGUGGGGAUCAAACAGG
rnacentral:rRNA from 1 species